rnacentral:lncRNA from 1 species
GAUCCAGCUGGCAGUCAGCGAGUGGGCAAGGAGGUGAAGCGUGGGUAUCCUAGGUGAAGGGCAUGUGAGAUUACGCGCUUGCGGCUCUUCAAAACGGUGUUGAAGGGAACGCACAAAAGGCUCGUGAAAGCGAGAAAAGGAGAUUAGUUAAUAGGCUUAGCUGGAUCAAGCUAACACAAGACAGCGUACAGCUGUGGAGUUGCAGUGGUUCGCCA